rnacentral:misc_RNA from 1 species
GAUGAAGAACGCAGCGAAAUGCGAUAAGUAAUGUGAAUUGCAGAAUUCAGUGAAUCAUCGAAUCUUUGAACGCACAUUGCGCCCGCCAGUAUUCUGGCGGGCAUGCCUGUCCGAGCGUCAUUUCAACCCUCGAACCCCUCCGGGGGGUCGGCGUUGGGGACCUCGGGAGCCCCUAAGACGGGAUCCCGGCCCCGAAAUACAGUGGCGGUCUCGCCGCAGCCUCUCCUGCGCAGUAGUUUGCACAACACGCACCGGGAGCGCGGCGCGUCCACGUCCGUAAAACACCCAACUUCUGAAAUGUUGACCUCGGAUCAGGUAGGAAUACCCGCUGAACUUAAGCAUAUCAAUAAGCGGAGGA